rnacentral:lncRNA from 1 species
CAUUACUCUACUCUGCAGCCAAGUUGAUGAAGAACUCACAGAAACUCUCCUGCCUUAGCACCCCCACGUGAGCAGAUUCCAGGGAUGAACCACCACACUCGAAGGAUUACUCCACUUUGCUAAAAGUUUAGAUAUUUGUCCUGGUACCCACGGAACCCAGAACCACCAACCCCGAGACAGUACCACCCACAAUGCGCUGGGACCUUCUCAUCAAUUGCUGAUUAAGAAAAUGCAGUACAGGCUUGCCUACAGCCUGAUCUUAUGGAGGCAUUUUCUCAAUUAAGGCCCACCUCGUAAAUGACUCCACAUACAGUGUUUCAUUUACCCCAGGCUGGCCGCAGAUUCAC